ACGGGGACCGUGGUGGUCUCAGUGUCAGCAGGCACUGUUGGCGUGACGGUGUCGGCGGGCGUGGUCAUCUCUGCAGACACAAACAGAACAAAUUACUGAUGGGGAGUUUCUCCUCGGCCGGGUCAGGAAACACAGAUGUGAGAGGAAGCGAUAAGACACGGCGUGCAGAAAGAAAACGGAAAGUAAUGAGGUGAAGUGUCUUUAAAGAGCGUCUGCACGUUCGGCCCUUUAUUCCCAGGAUCCAGAUAGCAAAGGAAGCAGCUUACAG